UACGUAGGGGGCAAGCGUUAUCCGGAUUUACUGGGUGUAAAGGGGGCGCAGACGGCGAUGCAAGCCAGAUGUGAAAGCCCGGGGCUCAACCCCGGGACUGCAUUUGGAACUGUAUAGCUAGAGUGUCGGAGAGGCAGGCGGAAUUCCUAGUGUAGCGGUGAAAUGCGUAGAUAUUAGGAGGAACACCAGUGGCGAAGGCGGCCUGCUGGACGAUGACUGACACUGAGGCUCGAAAGCGUGGGGAGCAAACAGG
rnacentral:rRNA from 1 species